UCCCCCAGCAAUGGGAAAGAGACACCUUGUUUGUUGGUGGUGGGGUUCUUUCAUCAGUCAGGGGCAGAGCAGAUGGUAGUCCCUUGUUCAUCCUAACUUGAUGCCUGGCUUGGUGGCCAAAGAUGUGUUAUGCCUAGGAUUCAUAA